rnacentral:misc_RNA from 1 species
GAUGAAGAACGUAGCGAAAUGCGAUAAGUAGUGUGAAUUGCAGAAUUCAGUGAAUCAUCGAAUCUUUGAACGCACAUUGCGCCCUUUGGUAUUCCUUAGGGUAUGCCUGUUCGAGCGUCAUUUAAACCUUCAAGCUAAGCUUGGUGUUGGGUGACUGUCCGCUUCACUGCGGACUCGCCUCAAAAUUAUUGGCGGCCGGUACAUUGGCUUCGAGCGCAGCAGAAACGCGAACUCGGGCCCGUCGUAUUGGCUCCCAGAAGCUAUCUUCACAAUUUUGACCUCGGAUCAGGUAGGGAUACCCGCUGAACUUAAGCAUAUCAAUAAGCGGAGGA